UCCCUGGUGGUCCAGUGGCUAGGACUCCACACUUCUAAAGGAGGGGCCCUGGUUCCAUCCCUGGUCAGGGAA
rnacentral:tRNA from 1 species